GAUGAAUGCUGGCGGCGUGCCUAAUACAUGCAAGUCGAGCGGUAAGGCCCUUCGGGGUACACGAGCGGCGGACGGCUGAGUAACGCGUGGGAACAUGCCCCAAAGUGAGGGAUAACGCACCGAAAGGUGUGCUAAUACCGCAUAUGGUCUUCGGAUUAAAGGAUUUAUCCGCUUUGGGAGUGGCCCGCGUACGAUUAGAUUGUUGGUGAGGUAACGGCUCACCAAAGUCGACGAUCGUUAACUGGUCUGAGAGGAUGAUCAGUCAGACUGGAACUGAGACACGGUCCAGACUCCUACGGGAGGCAGCAGUAAGGAAUCUUCCACAAUGGGCGAAAAGCCUGAUGGAGCAACGCCGCGUGCAGGAUGAAGGCCUCGGUCGUAAACUGCUUUAUGAGUGAAGAAUAUGACGGUAACUCAUGAAUAAGCACCGGCUAACUACGUGCCAGCAGCCGCGGUAAU
rnacentral:rRNA from 1 species